UGGGGAAUUUUGGACAAUGGGCGCAAGCCUGAUCCAGCCAUACCGCGUGAGUGAAGAAGGCCUUCGGGUUGUAAAGCUCUUUCAGACGGAAAGAAACGGUUACGGCUAAUACCCGUGACUAAUGACGGUACCGUAAGAAGAAGCACCGGCUAACUACGUGCCAGCAGCCGCGGUAAUACGUAGGGUGCGAGCGUUAAUCGGAAUUACUGGGCGUAAAGCGUGCGCAGGCGGUUUGGUAAGACAGAUGUGAAAUCCCCGGGCUUAACCUGGGAACUGCAUUUGUGACUGCCAGACUAGAGUGUAGCAGAGGGGGGUAGAAUUCCACGUGUAGCAGUGAAAUGCGUAGAUAUGUGGAGGAAUACCGAUGGCGAAGGCAGCCCCCUGGGCUAACACUGACGCUCAUGCACGAAAGCGUGGGGAGCGAAACGAGU
rnacentral:rRNA from 1 species